rnacentral:rRNA from 1 species
UAAGGAGAAGUUUUCUUCGGAAACGAGUAAACUGGCGAACGGGUGAGUAACGCGUAGGCAACCUACCCUUUAGACCGGGAUAACAUCGUGAAAAUGGUGCUAAUACUGGAUAAAAUCAUAUAUCAUCAGAUAUUAUGAUUAAAGGUGGCUUCGGCUAUUACUAUUGGAUGGGCCUGCGUCUGAUUAGCUUGUUGGUAAGGUAAUGGCUUACCAAGGCUACGAUCAGUAGCUGGUUCGAGAGGAUGAUCAGCCACACUGGGACUGAGAUACGGCCCAGACUCCUACGGGAGGCAGCAGUGGGGAAUUUUGCGCAAUGGGGGAAACCUUGACGCAGCAACGCCGCGUGAUCGAAGAAGCUUCUAGGAGUGUAAAGAUCUGUCAUAGGGGAAGAAUGAUUUUUGGUUUAACAUACUGAAGAUUUGACGGUACCCUAUAAGAAAGCCCCGGCUAACUUAGUGCCAGCAGCCGCGGUAAUACUAGGGGGGCAAGCGUUGUCCGGAUUCAUUGGGCGUAAAGAGUUCGUAGGCGGUCUAAACAGUCAAAAUUGAAAUACCACGGCUUAACCGUGGAACCGGUUUUGAUACUUUUAGACUUGAGUUAGGUAGAGGUAAGCGGAAUUCCUGGUGUAGCGGUGAAAUGCGUAGAUAUCAGGAGGAACACCAAAGGCGAAGGCAGCUUGCUGGGCCUUAACUGACGCUGAGGAACGAAAGCGUGGGGAGCGAACAGGAUUAGAGACCCUGGUAGUCCACGCCGUAAACGAUGAGUACUUGAUGGGUGGGGGAUUUCGACCCCUUCACUGUCGGAGCUAACGCGUUAAGUACUCCG